CACUUUAUAACACACUGCUGUUUACCGCGGUACAAACCCAGCAAACACAAUGAAUCUCUUCAGCGGCUUCAUCUGGAUUCUCACAGCUUUUAUUCCAGCGUCCAGAGGAAUCACUGUGACUCAGCCUGAACUUCUGACUGUUCCUGAAGGACAAAACGCCAGAAUACAGUGUAAAACUGAUGUUGAAAUAGAGGGCUUUGGUUUAGCUUGGUAUCAGCAGAAACAUGGAGAAGCUCCUAAACUCAUCAUUUAUCUGGUGAAUAACCUUUAUAAUCAGAGUUUCAGUCGAUUCAGUGGGGAUGGAGAAUUGGAAGGAACAGAUUUCACUCUGAGCAUCAGUGGAGUCCAGACUGAAGAUGCUGGACAUUAUUACUGUCAGAGUGUUCAUGAAAUCAACAGUGGUGAUGUGUUGACACAGUGA